rnacentral:rRNA from 1 species
UACGGAGGGUGCGAGCGUUAAUCGGAAUCACUGGGCGUAAAGCGCACGUAGGCGGUCGGGUAAGUCAGAUGUGAAAGCCCUCGGCUCAACCGGGGAACUGCAUUUGAUACUGCCUGACUCGAGUCCUGGGGAGGGUGGCGGAAUUCCGGGUGUAGGAGUGAAAUCCGUAGAUAUCCGGAGGAACACCAGUGACGAAGGCGGCCACCUGGACAGGUACUGACGCUGAGGUGCGAAAGCGUGGGGAGCAAACAGG